GACGAACGCUGGCGGCGUGCUUAACACAUGCAAGUCGAACGGAAAGGCCCUGCUUUUGUGGGGUGCUCGAGUGGCGAACGGGUGAGUAACACGUGAGUAACCUGCCCUUGACUUUGGGAUAACUUCAGGAAACUGGGGCUAAUACCGGAUAGGAGCUCCUGCUGCAUGGUGGGGGUUGGAAAGUUUCGGCGGUUGGGGAUGGACUCGCGGCUUAUCAGCUUGUUGGUGGGGUAGUGGCUUACUAAGGCUUUGACGGGUAGCCGGCCUGAGAGGGUGACCGGCCACAUUGGGACUGAGAUACGGCCCAGACUCCUACGUGAGGCAGCAGUGGGGAAUAUUGCACAAUGGGCGGAAGCCUGAUGCAGCAACGCCGCGUGCGGGAUGACGGCCUUCGGGUUGUAAACCGCUUUCGCCUGUGACGAAGCGUGAGUGACGGUAAUGGGUAAAGAAGCACCGGCUAACUACGUG
rnacentral:rRNA from 1 species